rnacentral:rRNA from 1 species
UACGGGGGGGGGCAAGCGUUGUUCGGAAUUACUGGGCGUAAAGGGCUCGUAGGCGGCCAACUAAGUCGGAUGUGAAAUCCCCAGGCUUAACCUGGGAACUGCGUCGGAUACUGGAUGGCUUGAAUCCGGGAGAGGGAUGCGGAAUUCCAGGUGUAGCGGUGAAAUGCGUAGAUAUCUGGAGGAACACCGGUGGCGAAGGCGGCAUCCUGGACCGGCAUUGACGCUGAUGAGCGAAAGCCAGGGGGAGCAAACGGG